CAGAGCUGAGGAAGCAGGCCGCAACCUGGGCUACUUGUUUUGCAGCAGGGUGAGCUAGCUACCAGGAAAACACUCCUGUUCUGUUAAGAGGGAAGAGGACGGGGAAUUCUGCCGGCCUCUCCCACUGAAGUCCAAGGGAUGUCUCCAGGCCUGGAAAUGAGCCCCCCUCCCACCACCCGCAUGUUCCUGAGCCUCAUAAUGUGCUGACCAAAGAAGCAAAUUAAUCUAAAAAUGUUUCCUGAGGACCCACCAUCGCAAGGACGCUGGCUCACCCACGGUUACUCCUGCUUCCGGGGCAGCACAUGACUGUGACUGCCUGAUGUGGUAAUAUGAAGGCUUGACCCUCAGCCUGAAUUGGGGACAACUCUGAAAGGCCACCCCAACUCCCAGUAAAUCAGUAAAUUUUCCUGUCAGCAUCUCCCUCUGCCUACUCAUGUCAUCCCCGCUUCUCUAGAAAGCACCCCCAACAAGCUUUCUGUACACAACCCUCGACCUCAGAGACAUUUUUCUGGGAACCAAGACAGACAGAGCAUCUUUUUCUUACUGAUGUACAAUGGUAAGAGCUACGUUUACUGUCUUUAAAACUUGAAAGUCUCAGGCACCUGGGUGGCUCAGUUCAUUAUGCAUCUGCCAUCAGCACAGGUCAUGAUCCCAGGGUCCUGGGAUUGAGUCCCGAGUUAGGUUCCAUCCUCUGCAGGGAGUCUACU